UUUUUUUUUCGAGAUGGAGUCUCGCUUUGUCAUCCAGGCUGGAGUGCAAUGGUGCGAUCUCGGCUCAGUGCAACCUCCGCCUCCUGGGUUCAAGAGAUUCUCCUCCCUCAGCCUCCUGAGUAGCUGGGAUUACAGGCAUGCACCACCACGCCUGGUUAAUUUUUGUAUUUUCAGUAGAGACAGGGUUUCACCAUGUUAGUCAGGCUGGUCUCGAACUCCUGACCUCGUGAUCUGCCCACCUCGGCCUCCCAAAGUGCUGGGAUUACAGGCAUGAGCCACCGUGC
rnacentral:lncRNA from 1 species